rnacentral:lncRNA from 1 species
CUUUCAUGAUGAAGUGAAGGAAAACAUGCCUUAACUUUGUGAUAUAGUUUGGCUCUGUGUCCCUACCCAAAUCUCAUCUUGAAUUGUAAUCCUCAUGUGUCAAGGGAGGGACUUGGUGGGAGGUAAUGCCCCCAUGCUGUUCUCAAGAUAGUGAGUGAGUCUCAUGUGAUCUGAUGGUUUUGUAAGUGUUUGACAUUUUCCCUUUUUGCUCUUCUCUCCUGCUGCCACGUAAGAUGUGCCUUGCUUCCUCUUUGCCUUCUGCCAUGAUUGUAAGUUUCCUGAGGCCUCCCCAGCCAUGCGUAACUGUGAGUCAAUCAAACCUCUUUUCUUUACAAAUUACCCAGUCUCAGGUAUUUCUUUACAGCAGUGUGAAAAAUGGACUAAUACACUGUGAAUGCAAAAGUCUAUCAUGUUCAAUAUAAUUAUCUCAGAAUGUUUUUCACGUCUCUUCCCCUCCUUUGCAUUUCUACCACCAUCAUCAUACUUUAGGCUUUUCAUACUGGGAAAUGGACUAAGGUUUCAACUUGGCAUCCCUGCUUCCAUUCUUCCCUCCUCUAAAUCGAUUUUCCACAUUGUGGCCAGGAUUGCCUUCCUAAGGCACAACCCUGACCUAGUAUGUUUCCUUUGGUAAAACAAAGGGACCUGAAUUGGCUCAGCUUCCAGGGCACCAUGAAAACAGUCUAUUGAUAGGAAGUUGGUCUCAAAAAGCCCUUCCAUUCUAAUGUUUUAUGAUCCUUACAUGUCAUCCUUUCACUGAGAUAGCAUGUGUGGCUCCCAUUUAUCUACAGGUGAAGUUGAUGUUCCCUUUUCAGACAUGCAAGGCAGUCUACAACGUAGGCCUGUAUUUUCUGGGUUUUCUCCCCCUCACUCAUGAUUAGUUCACUUUAGCCAAAUCAGACAGAGGGCAUAUAACAUGGUACCUUUAAUCACGCUGUUCCAUCUGUCAGGAAUGCAGAAUCAUCCCUCCCUGUUUCCAUUUGAAAUGCUUCAUAGAACACUUGUGAUUUGCACAAAGCCACCCUUUACUACUGUGGCACCUAGCCUCUAAGUUGACCUCCAGAGAUUCAUGCUGCCUGACAUGUUGUUUCUUGACCUUGAUGGUGAUUAUACAGUUGGGUACCUUUCGUGAUAACUCUGAGUUGUGUCCUGGAUGCUCUGUGUGUUUUUCUGUAUGUAUAUUAUAUUGCAAUAAAAAGUCUAUUCAUAAAAAAUGAACAUAAAAACAAGUGAACAUCACUGUUGGCUUCCUUGCCAUCAGGGAUAAAAGCUGCUUUCCUUCGGCAUCCAGAGCUGCCCCAUGGCUCCUGUUCGGGACCUACUUCUUCAGCAUCAUAACUCACUCCUGAGUCCCACACAACCAGUGUUUCUAGUUAUAUUUCUCAGCAUUCCCUGAACACACCAUGCAACUUCUCUGCCUUUGUACAUUCUGUCCACUUCCUCUUUCCCUACCUCAGUUUUUACAUUUUAGGAAAAACUCGUAUUCGUCUUUCAAGAGCCCCUCAGACAUGCCAUAUGUGAAGCCUUAUGUGCCCUCCUCAAGCAGAGAAGUUGCUCCCUCCUCUGGCUUACCGCAACACCUCUCUCACAGUGCUGUGCAGACUUUCUGUGUUCAGGGAAAUAUGUUGUGUGUGCUGUCCAAUAUGGCAGCCACUGGAAACCCAGCUAGUGUGGUUGAGGAAAGGAAUUCUUAAUUUUAUUUCACUUUUAAAAAAUUUUAACUCUUUAAAACAACUUUAUUGGGGUAUAAUUUACAUGCCAUAAAAUUCAC